rnacentral:rRNA from 1 species
AUUGAACGCUGGCGGCAGGCCUAACACAUGCAAGUCGAACGAGCGGCGGACGGGUGAGUAAUGUCUGGGAAACUGCCUGAUGGAGGGGGAUAACUACUGGAAACGGUAGCUAAUACCGCAUACCAUCGGAUGUGCCCAGAUGGGAUUAGCUAGUUGGUGGGGUAACGGCUCACCAAGGCGACGAUCCCUAGCUGGUCUGAGAGGAUGACCAGCCAAACUGGGACUGAGACACGGCCCAGACUCCUACGGGAGGCAGCAGUGGGGAAUAUUGCACAAUGGGCGCAAGCCUGAUGCAGCCAUGCCGCGUGUAUGAAGAAGGCCUUAGGGUUGUAAAGUACUUUCAGCGGGGAGGCGUUACCCGCAGAAGAAGCACCGGCUAACUCCGUGCCAGCAGCCGCGGUAAUUC